rnacentral:rRNA from 1 species
GAUGAACGCUGGCGGCGUGCCUAACACAUGCAAGUCGAGCGAACGGACGAGAAGCUUGCUUCUCUGAUGUUAGCGGCGGACGGGUGAGUAACACGAGGAUAACCUACCUAUAAGACUGGGAUAACUUCGGGAAACCGGAGCUAACACCGGAUAAUAUUUUGAACCGCAUGGUUCAAAAGUGAAAGACGGUCUUGCUGUCACUAAUAGAUGGAUCCGCGCUGCAUUAGCUAGUUGGUAAGGUAACGGCUUACCAAGGCAACGAUGCAUAGCCGACCUGAGAGGGUGAUCGGCCACACUGGAACUGAGACACGGUCCAGACUCCUACGGGAGGCAGCAGUAGGGAAUCUUCCGCAAUGGGCGAAAGCCUGACGCAGCAACGCCGCGUGAGUGAUGAAGGUCUUCGGAUCGUAAAGCUCUGUUAUUAGGGAAGAACAUAUGUGUAAGUAUCUGUGCACAUCUUGACGGUACCUAAUCAGAAAGCCCCGGCUAACUACGUG